UGAAUUUCAUACGACAUAACUAACCGUAGGUAAUUUAUAAAGUGUCUUUUUCCAAUGGAUAUACUAUAUGCUAAACAGAACGGCACAAUCAAGAAUAUUGCACAAAUGAAAGGGCAACUAAGCUAAGGAAGCCUGUAUAAGAAGGUUCAUUUUUGUAUCGCCCAAUUCGAUCAUUCAGCUUCCAUUAUGACAAGAAACUAGCAGGCGUAGGCACAAAUACAGCGGUAAUAAUUGGGAUACAUAUGCCCAAUCAUGCCUUUUAAAAUUAAUGGCAUGUCUUUAUCUAGAACAUAUACUCACCGGGGUUAAUAAGAUAAAACACAUGAUUCCACAUAAGGAUAGGCCCCGAAGAUGUUGUAUAUUUUUGUGCAUCCAUUGUUACCUGCAGUUGCAGAGGCCUCAUGUGACAGCUUCACAAUCAUUCUUGUAAGCAUUGGGGCACAUUCAAAUAUCAGUUUUAAGAAAUUAUUCUCGUGUUCGCGUCCUUCGAGUCCAUAAAUCUCCACUUCUUCGAGAGCAGUCAAGAAGAUAGUCUGAGAUCUCUGGUUUGUGGGCUCACAAGGGCAAUAUGGUGGGCAUCGAUCUUCCCCCUAAAACCAUAGUCUAUAUGUGAAUUACUUAUUAUAAUGCAUAAGCGAGAUAUAUAAUCAGGGCAAAGAAUUACCGUUGAUCUCUCUAGGAAGAUUUUAAGCCUCUGCAUAUCAUUACGAAUUCGGUCCAUCCCAAAGAGAUGAAAAACCAAUGCUCCAUAAACAUGCCCGCUUGUUUUGAGAUGUAACUCCAAAACAAAGAAGGCAACAACCAUAUGCUUCUCUAUCUCCCGCUUAAACUUGACUGCUCCUCCUUGUAAAUUACGGGAACGCUGAAAAAACAAUUUGGCAGGAUAUAUAACAUGCAAAAAAAAUACUUUAGUCGUAGCUUGCAUUAAAUUGAGCAGGAGAAGGCGCGCAUGGAUGUGGAGUGAAGGGGUUUGUCCUUGUUGUCGCUCUGCCGUCCGCAGCCUCAGCUGCUUGAGCCGCCAAUGACCAAAGGCAACAUACCCGCCGGUAUAUCGGCAAUACCAGGAGACCUUCUCCACCAUUGGUGCCGAAACAGAGAUGGUGACCUCCGAGUUCGAGGCCAUUAAGGAUAUGGUCAGUUGCUUAAGCGGUGGGGCAAGAAUGUGGACAUGCUGUAUCCAUGAUGCCUGGUUAUACAGGACAAGCUCCUGCAGCGACACCGAGUGUACAGUCUUCUUGGGCUUCUCCUCAAAGUUUCCAUGAUAGUUGCCAUGUCCCUGUGUGUUUAGUAGGGUUAUUGGGUGGCUUCAUGUAAUCUCGACUAAGUUUUUUUACCCAAAAAGUAUUGAAAUGCAUUUCACUCAACAAAGAUAUCUGUUUCGAACAUUGAAAAAGUCGUUAGAUUUCACUUUUUUCAACAAUAAACUUUACUUGUUUAAAAAAACCUAAUAUUUCCAAAUUGUUUCACUCAUCUCAAAGAAUAUAAUUUCACUAGUUCCAAAAUAAGUAUUACAAAAAAUUGAAAAAUCACAAUUCACCGAUUUGGAAAACUGAUUUCACUCAUUACAAAAUAUAUCUCAAAAACUAAUUUCACUUCGUAUUUACCAAAAAAGUAUUGAAAUGCAUUUCACUUGGCAGAGAUAUCUGUUUCAAAUAUUGAAAUAGUCGUUUGACACCAAAAAGAUAUAUUUCACUUUUUUCAAAUAACUUAUUUCACUCAUUUCAGAAAUACAUUACAGUCGCUCAAUUGAAAUACAAUAUUUCACUUCUUUCAAAAAACUGAUUACACUCAUUACAAAAGAUAGAUUUCACUAGUUUCAGGAAAACACAUUACAAUCACCCCAUUGAAGACACAGUUUCAGAAGCUGAAAUAUGAAACUCACAAAUAAAACUAUAUUCAGAAAAGUGGUUUCAAUCAUUUUAGUAACUGAUUUCAUUUUUUCAAAAAAUGUAAUUUGAAAUGAGUGAAAUUGGUAUUUUGACAUGAUUGAAAUAGUAAAAAUUAAACUAGUUUAAAUAUAUUCAAGAUUGGUCUUAUUCUAAAGAUAUUAUGUUCAGGAAUUUGAAUAUAUGAUUUUUUUAAUAAUAGAACAUUACUGUAAAAAAUAUUGGCCAUCUAAAAAUGUAAAUAAAAAUAAAAUGCAUGAAUUUGUUUGAGAGGGAGGAGAGAUGCCGCAUGCAUGCGUACAAUCCACUGCAAAUAGUACUGCCUUUCCUGUCAUCGGGCCUAUUGAUGUGACAUUGAUUUGAUCAUAUAAAAUUAUUAGCUGCCACAAUACAUGGGUAUACAUAUGAAUCGGUCCCACUUAGAGUCAGAUCACAAAGCAGCUGAACGAUGGAUGCUAUGCCCGUACAUCCCAGCUCCGGUAAAAAGGAGUUUGCACAUAUUCACUCGGUCCAGACAUAUUUGUCAAAGAAAUGAAUGUAUAUCUAGACGUAUUUGAGUUCUACAUACAUUCAUUUCCAAAAAAAUAAUUCCGUUAGGAGGCACGGUCACCUAAGAAAAAGUCUCACCUUGUCGCGCCACUCUCCUCGGUCGUCAUCAACUUGCUCCCAUGGAAGUGGAACGCAAAGAAGAAACAAACAACAAACCAUAGACUCGUGGUGGAAGCCGCCAUUGCAAAUUACACAAAUGCAGACAAGAACAAAACCCGAUUCUCAUCCACAUGCAUGCAUGCAUGGAUGGAGAUUAGCUAAAUUUAUGCAAUCAACAAUCUUAAUUUCAUCUUCAUGAUACGCACAGACAGCACAAGAAAAUAACAUCUCUUCUUGUCUGUCAACCCUCCGGUCCGAUCUGAUCGAUCACCCUCACCCUCAACAUCAUGCACCCAAAACACAAAGAUUCAUGCUACGGGAACCAUCCAUGCGCCUAGUAGUCGCCGCCGUAGAUGUCCUCCUCCACGCGCUCCGUCACGCGGUCCUCGAUCUUGUGCUCCACGUAGCUCCCCCCGCCCGCCAAGCACGCCCGCCGCCGCGCCCACCGCCAGCCCGCCAGCCAUGCCCAUCCCCUUCUUCUUCUUCCCGCCGCUCUGGUCCAGGGCCACCCCCGUCGUGCCGUACCCCGCCGUCGGAGCUGGCUGCGCGGCGCCGUAAGCCGGAGCAGAGGAGCCGUACGCACCUGCUCCCUGUUUCGGCCGUGCGGCGCCGUAGGGCGGUGGAGCAGAGCCCACGGUGACCUCCACCUCGUACAGCGAACCCAUCUUGCUAGUUGCUAGGCUGGUGUUGGUUGCCCGGCGAGGCGGCGACGAUGUCGUUGGUUGUGGUGGGAUGUGGUGGUGGAUGGAAGCCGGUGGGCGGUGGCGACGGCGUAAAUAGGCGAGAGUGCGCGGGGCGGCUCGGGCUGGGGGCGCACCGACCGGGGUGGUGUGGCGCAGUCCGUCAUGUCUGACUGGAAAGUGGCCCCAGCGUCUUUGCUUUGGUAGGACUAGCAAAAGAGCCGUGCGUUGCAACGGAAGAAAAAAAUAACACAGUGUGUUAACCCAAUAACCAUAAUAUGUUCAUGCACUUUAUUUUAGCGAGGCAUCAUUUUUAUGUUGCCGCUUAUCCACCUUCUCACCGUUAGUGGCCUCAGUGUUCACACAAACCAAAGUGUGUUUGAAUGUUGUUUUUCCCCUGCCAUUUUUUCAGAGGUGCUCAUGUGUGGUUAUCAAUGUUUUCUUUUGUCUCUUUAUGAUUUUAGUGGUUGUUUAUUGCAAUCCAGAUCGUCGUGGUACGAAAGAAAAACGGGCGUGCCCUAUAGGUUACAAGCUUGCUUUUAAAAUAAUAUUUUAAAAUAUUUAAUAGGUAAAAAUAACAUCAUAUUCAAAUUCUAUAUAUUUUUCUAUUCAAAUUUCAUAUAUAACAUGUUAAAAUCGGAGUUACGGUUUAAUAGAUAUGGAUAAUUAAGAAAAAUAUUUAUUUGACUUAAAUAUAUUCCAAAAUAAUAUUUAAAAAAUAUUUAACAAACAAAAUAACAUCAUAUUCAGAUUCUACACAUUUUUCUAAUCAAUGUUCAUAUAUAACAUGUUAAAAUCAGAGUUACGGCUUAAAAGAUAUGAAUAAUUUAGAAAAACAUUUGUUUGACUUAUAUAUGAUCGGUGGGUGAAUUAUCUAAUACGUCAGGAGUGUUUCCGUAAAAUUGUAAAAUAACGGUUCAGUUAUGACUUAAGUGUGUAUUGCGGGUUAAUUCACGAAAAACGCAGGGGGUUUUCUGCAAAAGUGCAGGACGGACGGCGGAAACCCAGUUUACUUUAUUAUUAGGUAGAGAUAUGAAGUAUUCAAUGCAUUUUCUAGGUGCGGAUACAUUCAUUUUCUUUGUAGAAGUAUUUGUGUAUACAUUGUCAUGACAUAUUGGCGCAUCCUAUCUCUAUCUUUGGACUAUCUAGAAUUAUUAUUACUUAGCAUCCAAGGGAUUGCACAAGAUCUAAUUAGGAGGUGCCAUGCACGAAUUAAAGAGCAGAAUGAAUGAGUAGCUACCCGAUUUGGAUCCUCCAAAUUAACACUCAACACACAUACUACUGGCAUAUCCUUAUCUUUGUUUCUAAAAUUAUUAUUACUUAGGCUCGAAGGGAUUGCACAAGAUUUAUUUAGGAUAUAUAUGGGACGCGAAUUUGAUGAACAUGGUUUCACGCGCAUCCCUUAUGAGUAAUAAUCAUGGAUUUACUAGCGCAUGGAGAAAGUAAAAGAGUAGUACAACUACUCGAAUGAAUGAAUGGAUGAAUGAGUAGCUACCAGCCGAAUUGGACUCUUCAAAUUAAGUCUAGUUCGAGGGGUGGAGAGUUUCCAAUUUUGAGAAAAUGAAAGCAUUGCAUGACCAUUUCAUUUCCCUUUUUUCAAAAACUUGCAUUACUGGAGUCAAUUUUGAGAAAAUGAAAGCAUUGCAUGACCAUUUCAUGACCCACUUCACUUGGGCUGGGCCACACUCACUGAAGUGGUGGGGACUUUGAUGCCGCAGCGGGCCGAACAAGUUGACGACCAUAUCUAUCUUGGCCGGGCCACUUCACAUGUAGGCCCGAUACCCACUGGCCCGCACACCCACAUUCUCUCUCUCUCUCUCUCUCUCUCUCUCUGUGUGUGUGUGUGUGUGUGUGUGUGUGUGUGUGAAAAUAGACAUCGACAUGCCACAUUAUAAUGAGCAAAUAUAUGAAAUUUAGAGUCGUGUACCCAAGAAACAUGAGAUGCAAGUUUAAGUCCCAUCACACACACCAUUAAAUAUCAAAUUAUGAGUACUGAAUAUUCCACCACACCAAACUCGUGUGAAGUAUAUAAGAAUAGGUAAAUGCUCCAUCCACAAAGAUCGAAUGUUCUAUAGGAGAGGGUGUAGUUGUCGAACUUCCUUGGGUGAUGUAUGUACCAUGUUGGAGAUGGGCAUGCCAGUAUGCCACAAUCUCGGAAUGUGUCCACCAGGAUCUCAGGGACGGGUGCAGCAUGCGCCGAAUGAGUGGCAAUAGACAGAAAAUAAUGAUGAUAUUGUUCCAUCUCUAAACAUUAGCUAUGAUUACUGGACUUUGUUUCGAAAAAAUGUUUUUAAUAUAUGCACUCUUCCCUGAAGAUUAUAUGUUUUAUAAGAUAGAUAACUUGAAUGUGGUUUUUUCAAUGGAGCUAAAAGGGUUCUCUCGCCUUUUGUGUUGUAUCAUUCCGAUCAUCCCACAACUCCUCGUUGCCCGUCCUUAGCCUCGGCGCUGCCAUCCUCUGAGCUCCCCGCCACCAUUUUUGAGCUUCAGCUAGGUGACCAUGGCACAUUUGUGCCGCUUGGGGCCAUUCUAUAACCGCUUGUUCCUCGAUUCCAUGGAGCAUGAGCACCGCGAGCUUGCCAGCCUUAACCCCCGAGUGUGAGAAGAUGUUGGAGGAGCUCACCGAGCUCUCCGACGAGGAUGAGGAAAUGUUUGACACCCAGGAGAGGCCCCUCCGACACCUACUUUUAAUCAAAAUGUAGCUAGUUUUUCUCGAUGCGUAGAAGGGAUGUUUAAUUAUGAUCGUAGUAGCGUUUAAUAUAUUUAUGUUUAAUGUUUAAUUUGCAAAUGUUGUUUAAGUAUGCAACGAAGUAUGUGUUAUCUCUAUAUUUUACUUGAUUUUGAAAAAUAUGGAUAUGAAAUUUUGGUUAUGCUAUAUAUAAAAAAACAAGUUUUUAUUUACCUAAAUCUUGUCUCCCCUAUACAGUUUUUUUUUUGCCUUUGAGGCUUCAAUGGUACAUGAUGUGUAAUGCAAGGCCCAUUUUAAACACAUGAACGAGAGAAUUCAUAUGGAGCGAAAUCAGCAGCCUCUUGCCAUGUAAGUCGCCUAUUGGUUGUAGUUGAAGUUCUGUCCAAAAUAAAAAUCAUGAGGAGAUCAACAAAAAUCUUACCGAGCUCGACCAGAUCAGAAAAAAAUAGGUCGAAGGAGAGGUCAUCGGAGGCGGAAAACCGAUCUGACGUUCAAGCAUGAGAAGCAUGUGGUUGCCACUGCCAACAGAAAAGCUGAGUAAAUCUUUGUCCCGAGUGGGUAAUGUUUGUUCUAGUGUUUCUCAAGACCUUUUUGGUUUCAAUUAAUCGCACGUGGAAAUUUUUGAGUUUCUGGCAGCCUCGACUUUCCAUGAUAUUUAGACUGGUGAUGUCCAUGUAUCACAGGGCAGCAAAUGGCCAUCCCUAAUCAACACAAAAAUGCCAGCUUUGGAUUUAUAGUAAACAAGUUUACUUUUUAGCAGCUACUAGUUGUAAUUAGUUUAUAUUUAUAUUAGCACAAAUGACAACGUAUAGUGUUCCAAAAUCGAUAUAUUGUAUUCGAUAUACAAUUCUAAUGUCUUAAUUACAAAUACACAUGCAUUAAGUUAAGCCAAUAUUUUACAGUGGAGUUUGUUUUAUACGUUUCUUCAUACGGGAAAUAAUUCCAAAAUCACAUUGCCUCUAGAUUAAUUUAUGUUUCUUAUGUGUUCACAUUUAUAUAUUUUAGUACCUUUAAAAUCUUGUAAAGAUAUUUAAAGGUAUACCACAUCGAUGAGAGAUCUGGCUGGUGCUCGGGAGUGUCAAACAGACGAGCUUUCACGUAGGGCACAAUCUUAAUGGGUCGGUCCAUUCGGUUGCGUCAUAGCGAGACGCUUCUAUAAUCCCAAAAAAUGAUGCUCUAUCCAAUUCGGUGGCAUCAUAGUGAGACCCUGCUAAAAUAACAAAAAAUUGAUGCUCUAUGGAGAAUCAAUCUCGAACCGCAUGGUAGAGAGUAAGUGUUCUUUACUAUUUGAGCUGCGAAGUGUUGGUGAUUAAUAGGCCACGCGUAGGCGCGGGCAUCAGGAGAGCAAGGUAUCAAGGUUGACGACGCAGCGGGAGGGCAAGGUAUCAAGGUUGACGAGGCAGCCUGAGAGGGACAGCGUCUGGAGUACGGGGAACUCGACUCCGGUCGGCACCCUGAGGAAUAAGAAGCGCGAGUCCAACAUGAUUGAGGUGGCGCGUAGAAGCAUGGCAGUCCGACAAUGGUUAUAAUGCACCGGAGGUGGAAGACAAACUUCUCAGGUGCGAUACCAUAGCGGCGUUGCGCCAGCAAUCUUCUCGGAUCUGCCUCUGCGUGAUGUGGAUUUUGAGGAGGGAAACUGGAGGAGAACCGAUGCAGCCGAGCGCUGCUUAGAGAGAAUGGAACGUGAUGUUGCGGAAGGCGAUAUGGUGGAGCCGGAUCCAGAGGCGGUGCCACCGCUGGGAGAGGACACCGGUGCACGCGGCCGGAGCGGCACAAAGUAGGCCGGCUAGAACGAGCAUGAGAAGGUCAUCAAGGAGGGCGCUUAUGCAGUCCUCUCUCUGAUGCUAGGAGGAACGCACGCUAUGCCUUGAUCUCCACUCCAUUGGAGCUUGGUGUCGAACUUGUCAAUCGUCUUAUUCCCGGGAGGGUGGAUCGAGAACUCGUAGCUUGUCUCUGCCGCUCGGCCGCUCCAACUCCCUUAGGGCGUCGGUAUGCCAGGUCUUAACGGUGACUAGUGGCUGGGGCGUGCCAUUCGCAUGCCUCCUGUGCAUUCAUGUGCGCACUUAUCUAGCUUACUCACGUCUGCGGUUCUAGGUUGAUCAUUGAUGGCACUUAUAUAUACAGCAAAAGUGGUUUGCAAACAUGUGAAUAUGCAAUCUUUGUUGAGUUUAACCUAUAACCAAUGGUAAACAUGAAUGCUAAAUAGGAUAUGUACCUUCUCAUAAGCUAUACUAAUGAACAAGAAGCAGUACAAAGUUCAGUAAAUAUUUGAAACUUUGACAGUCUAUACAAAAAAGGGUCAUGUUAUACAAAAAAGAAUAGUGUGCAGCACUGAUGCAACAUAAAUAUUUCAAACUUAAAUGCAAAGAUUUUUUAAUGAGAAAGCUUUGACAUUUCAGGAAGGUCUAAGAUACUUUGAAUAAGACCCUGGCAGGUUCAUUUGUAACACCCACGAGUAGAAGAAUGCCUCCCUGCUUCCGCAUCUCAGCCCUUCUCAUCCUUGGAGAGCCCCUUCCGACCUGAAAUCACACGAACUAUUAGCCCUAGUUCACGGACGAAUAUGGCAUGAGAGAGAUUCCUUGAGGAACAAAAGAAUUCCUGCAGGAAACAUCCAUUAUCUGAUUAGAAAAUCAUAGAAUGGUCAACAAAAUUAUACAUCCCAUAAAAAAAUUACAAAAUUGGCAAACAACCAAAUAUACUUGGUGCUGUGACAGCCUAGUCAUGACAUAGAAGUGCGGGCCAAUCUUUACUUAUGCACUACCUUAUAGCUCUGUUCUUUAGCCUUUUUCAGUUCUCUGCUAAGAUUUUUUAUGGUUGUUCAAUAUAAGUCAAGUUUUGAUUGAAGUUAUAUUUCCUUAUGUGGCAAUGGCUCUUCCGGCGGUCUCAAACAUUUCCUGAGCUGUGAGACAAGGAAUAUACAAUGAAACUAGGAUAAUUCUACUGGCAAUUCCAAUUCUUCGGCAACUGCCCCUUCCGAUCCAAAAUCCGAAAAGGUCCAAUACGCCUAGGACUCAAAAGCAUGUAUUUGGACAAAACUUUAUCAUGUAUUGGGGAAAAGGUAAACAUAUAGUAUAAAAAUGUUUUAGAUGCAUUCACAUAAUGUACGUCUUGUAUGGAAAAAGGUAGACAUCAAAACGUAUAAGCCGACUAGAACUUUUGUAACCCCGGGCCUCCGACAUCCUUUAUAAGCUAGGGCCAAACUAGUCAAUAGGCAUAUGUGAUCACAUAUUAGAUCACUCUGAGAACCCCUCGAUUGUACCUUGUACUCUGUACACAACAUCGCAAUACAACACGAGUACGAGUAGGGUAUUACGACUACCAUGAGAGCACAACCCUGGGUUAAUCCGCUCUCUUUUUGAUGUUUGUCUUGCAUGUUCAUCUAGUUAUAUAUAACUAGUUCUACUUAUCUAGUUUAUUUUGUUCAUAAUAAAGUUUCUUUUAUGGUUGUUCAAUAUAAAUCAAGUCGGAUUGAAGUUCAAUUUUCUUAUGCGGCAAUGGCUCUUCCGCCAGUCACAUUUCCUCAGUUGUAUGACCUGGAAUACAUUUUGGACUUGGGAUAAUUCUGCCGGUAAUUCCAAUUUGUAGGCAACUGUCCCCUUUCGGCCCAAGAUCCGAAAAGGUCCAAUAUACCUAGGACUCAAAAGCAUGUGUUGGGGAAAAUGUUUAUCAUGUAUUUGGAAAAUGCUAAACAUAUGUAAAAAGAUGUUUUAGAUGUAUACAAAAAAAUGUACAAUUGUAUGAAAAAAGGUAGACAUCAAAAGUUAUAUUGAAAAUAAAUGUUGAUCAUGUGUUUAAAAAAUGUUUAACGUGUAUAAAAAAUGUUUCUAACUUAUAGAAAAAUGUACAAUGUGUAUGAAAAAUUUAGGCAUGUGUUGUAAUAAAAAAACACACACAAGAAAACUGAGAAUGAAACAAAGAAAACCGAAGGAAAAAAACAAAAAAGGAAAACCUGAGAAAACCAAACAUAACUGAUGCAAAACGGUGAAAACCCGAUAAAACAAAACAAGGGAAAAAAAAACUCGCGUAGCUAUAGUAUUUGGCUGAUCUAAUAGUACAGGUGAUACAUUGUUAUCGCGGACCACAAGUGAGCCCUAGCGGAUCCAUUGAUCGGCUGGAAUCAAGUUCGUCCGCCGCUGCAUUGAUCCAUUGGUACGUUCUCGCGUGCUCCCACGAUGGAGUUGAGAUCAGGGCGUCGCCUGCAUUCCUCCAGGCAGCAGAGAAAGGACCGCAUCAGCGCCCUCUCCGACGACCUGCUCCGCCUCGUCCUCGCCCGCCUCGGCUGCGUCCGCGCCGCCAAGUGCACCAGCGUGCUCUCCCGCCGGUGGCGCGGCCUCCUACUGCCAGGGCUCGUCUUCCGCGGCGUCGCGUUCCACAAGCUGGAAGCCGCGCUCGGCCGCUUAUCUCCCGCUGUCUCCCUCCUCGAGAUCCACGUCGCCAAGUGGGCCUGCCGCCUCCCUCCUGAGCAGCGCCGGGCCUCGCGCGUCAGCUCGCUCCUGCGCGCAGCCGCGCGUCUCGCGCCAGAGGAUUUCGUCCUCGCUCUCCCUUGUGAAUCAACACUAUAUACCCACCACGUUGAACUGCCAUGUUUCCACCGUGCCAUCUCGAUUGUGCUGAACGCGCUCUUCUUCUUCAGGGUGCCGGCCGGUGUCGAGUUCCCCGUGCUCGAGACGCUGUCUCUCUCGGUCUGCAUGAUCGACAUCAAAGGUUUGCUCCCACGCUGCCCACGCCUGCGCGUGCUCAGGCUCAAGCUGACCGCACAUUGGUCUCAUAGCACGGAGCUGAAGAUCCACUUGGCGUCGCUACAGGAGCUUGUCGUGGAGAAUGCAUGGAUCCGCAGUGUCGACAUUGUUGCCCCCUUUCUUAAGCAAGUGACGAUGUCCACAACCAAUUACAUUUUGCAGGACGUCUCCAUCAUGGCACCAAUGAUGGAGAAGGUGUCCUGGCAGUGCAGGUACACUAGGGUGCUUGGGAAAACUUGUUUUGGUCCUUGGUGCCUUGAUAAGUUGCGGCUAGAGACGGCGGAGAGGCAGGGACAGCCCACUUCGCUGCACAUUCAUGCCUACACCAACAAUGUGUGCCUCUUUUCCUUCUCAAUUUACUGAAGUUGCUGGAGAGAGUUAUUAUAUAUGAUAUGUACCCUGACAAAUUGUUUUUUUCAGAAAUCGUAUAUUUUGCUUGUUGAUGAGGACAACUGUAAGCAGGAGAUUCAAAAGCAUAUGAUUGCUGUAUUCUCUGUUUUGGAGCUACAUCUUGAAACAGUUGGGCACGUUUUCGGGGCAUUUGUGUUUCAUCUCCUUGGGAUGGACCGGAUUGGCAGUGCUAUACACAUGCUUAAGGUCGUCCUAUGGAGAUCAAAGGUAAUUCCCUGUUUUACUGUAUACUAUAUACAUCUGAUAAUUAAUCGUGUAGUUAUUCUCAGUUUUUCCAUUUAGGAGAAAGAAACGUGCAUGGCUAAUUGUCGACGUGAUCCCCUGAACUGGACAACCAAAACUAUCUCCUUGACUGCUCUUGAAGAAAUGGAAAUCGACGGCUUUGAAGGCGAUGAUCAUGAGUUUGAUUUCUUGAAGUUGGUAUUCAAGUCUGCGCCAAUUCUUGAAAGAGUUACUGUGCAGCUGUCACAUGAGGGCUCAUCAAGUAGUGACAUAUGCGUAAAACUAUACGACAUUUUCAUGGCAUAUUCUUCCGUGGAAUGUUGUGUUUAUCUUUGCUCUGGUGAGUAUAUGUUCAUGUGAUUAACAUGCUCCUCAAGAGUAACUAUCUAACCCUUGUAAGUUUCUCCGAUGACAUGAUUAUCAUGAUUUAGAUUGUUGUCAUAUAUAUGCAUAUAAACCGCAAUACUAGCUCUUGUCAGGUUUCAUGCUAAUUUGUGCACAAUCCCUAAUAUCUUUAUAAAAUAGAAUAGAAGCGGAACAAUGUAGUGGGCGAUAAAUACUUUUAUGGGCUUCCUUAACUUAGUUCCCCUUUAUGCAAUUCACUCUGUUGAUUUUAUCCCCCUACUUUGCAUCUAUAUUCAGUUGCAAAAAUAUAGUUUCAAGGUAAUUAACAGUCUCAUUUGAAUUUUAUUUUAUUUUGGGUUGGGCACAAAUUAUUCAGCUCCAGAUAUAAUAUUUAUUGCAUUAGAUAUUCCUCAUUUGAAUCCUGGUGAGUAUAUGUUCUGCAUGCAUGAUUAACAUUUUGGUUGGCGGGUACUUUGUUAUUUCUCUCUUUCAUCAGCACGAAUGGCAACGAUAUUUACUCAUACAAUGACUCUACAUUUGCACAAUGCAAUACUGACCGGAGAUGGUUUCAAUUUGGAUCCACUUGCAGGAUUAACGCACGGCAGCCAACAUUGUUUCUCGGCAUGAUUCUCCAUUUGUGAAUUCAUGAUGGGCACAAACAAGAAAAUCAUUCAGCGUUUUCACGAACUCCAUAUAUGUGAGACAGUUGGAGGAUAUUUCUUUGUCAUAACUCAGACAGACUUCAAUGCAGCUAUAGGCUCGGAGUAUUGACCUCUAGCCUGGUUCCUAUUUUGAAGAUAAAAGUGGGUGUUGUUGGGGCAGUGCACUAAGCUAUAUACCAAGAGUAUUACAAUUAUCCAAACGUCAAAGUUGUUGUGCUCAGUCUAUCUUCAGUUGUCAAACCGUCGAAGUUAUUGUGCUCAAAGCCUCACACCAUGUUCAAUUUUCAAAGUUACUGUGCUUGACCUAUGUCAGUUAGGUGCCCCAAGUUUUUCUGUUAGGUCUGUGGUUUCUAUUGCUUUUCGCUAUUUCAUCGCAUUUUGAUAUUUUGGAACAAUUCAUUUCAUUUGACGUCUUGUGGUUCUUCUCCAAAAGUAGAUUGAUCAACAAAGAAUAUUCCCUUAAGCUUCAUAGCUCUUCGCUUUAAUAUAUGAGCUCUCUGGUUAGCUCACUAUCUUAACUUGAGAUGUGCCCACUAUUCCUAUCUUCCAGAAACUAGAGCAAAUUUUUUACACAGCAUGAACAUUUGCUAAAUGUGUGGUGAACACUUUUAAAAUAUUAAAUAAGUUAUUUUCCACAAUAAUGUAAGUGGCUUCAAUUUAGCCAUCACUUUAUAUUCACUAGUGUAUUUGGGUUCACUUUGGUGUAUAAUUCGAUUUAGCCAUCACUCUGUUUUCACUAGCAAACACCAAGUCUUGAGUUGGUUGCACCACUCUCUCCACGUCCUACACACGUUCAUCACUUGCACUUGCCAGUGUAUAAUAAAGACCAAUGUGAAUGUACUUGUCAUUAAUGCUUAGGAAAGUAGCUAAUGCCUAAAUGCAUAAGAAACAAAACAUGACGGAUUGGCACUAAAUCUAACAAUAGGAAUUAGUUACCAUCUCCUGUUGGAAAUCACCCAUCAUAUACAGCAAGAAAUGUUUACUUUCAUCCUCUGAAUUUUUGUAGUUGUAUUCAUCCCGCAGUGUGCAUCUUAGACAUCAUCUUAGCCUACAUGUCCAUCGGUUGAUUGCAAGCCAUUUGAUCCACCGAAAGAUAGGUGUCAAUCGAGCUGACGUGGUUUGCAAUAUGGGUCAUGUUAUGCCCAACCCGAUCCAGCUGACGAGAUUUUCAACAUGAGUCAUGUUUAACUCGUAGAUUGCCAAUAUGGGUCAAGUUGCGCUCGGAGAUUUGCACAUCGCCACAAUUGCACUCAUUGUCAUUCAACACAGAUGUGUGUUGCAGUCACAAUAACUGACGAUGUUGUAACCCGGAGAGCUCGCGACACCACCAAUAGGUCCUUUGCUCGAAACACCAAUGACAUUGCAAGUGGCUCGUUGCUCACAAACUACGAGGACCUAGAGCAGUGGUGAUGUUGUGUGUGCUGCCCUUCACAGUACACAACACCUUGCAUGUUACAAUCAAACACCUACGACGACAAUGACCUGCAGGGACAUCAACGCUCCCCAUUGGAGCAAGCAGUCUUGGUGGUGGUCGAAUCUUGCAACAUGUCAAAAACAAAGCAAUGCCUCCAUCACCAUCGCAGAAGGCAUGACGAGAUCCGAUGGGUAGGGUAGCGGAAUAGGCAGGGAGAGAGGGUCUCUCUCAGGAGCAGCAACUCGAUGGACGACACAUGAAUGUGGGUGUUGUGCAAGGUGCCGGGGAGAAGGGGGGUCAAUUUAGUUGGAGACGAUGAGACGAGGACGCUUUCAGAUAAUAGGAGAUAAGGGAAAGUGGUCUGUAGGGUCUACUAGGACAUGUGUCAACUGGUGAAGGAGGCCGACUUGUGCAUGGUUUCAACCGGUUGAAUGUAAGUGUUACGGGUCUGUUUGAGUAGUUGUACUUCUGUUUAUAAAAAGGAGAACAAUGCAAUUCUUCUCUUUCUGAAAAUAAGAAAGGGAAACGUUACAAAUCAGCCGGUAGAUUUUGGUCGCUAGCAUCGAUCGUUUCCUUUGGUUGCCACACGACGUGCGCCCAUCCUAUUCUAGAAAUAUCUUGGAUGAACCAUCCCCUUCCUCGUGUGUUUCACCCUCGUCCCUUUUUCCUCGAUUAGGAUGACUGGUGUUUGGAAGGCGCUGUUGAUGCAGGUCAGGGCACCGCUCGCCACCGGGUGCUGGGUAGAUCCAUGCCCAUUGUUGCAAGGUGCCGAUAAUGUGGGCCAGAGCGACACUCGCCGCCACCGCAAGCUAUUGUCUCUGCAACACCGGGAAGCUAUCGUCGCCGUUGGCACAUGUCGCUCGUCGGGCCUGGCCACGGUUAAGUGGUGGAAUGGACGGAGCCGACGCAGCCGAGGAGAUGGAGGGAUGUAUUGUCGCUGGAGAAGACGAGCCUGAUGGAGAACAUAACACGAGCAGGGAUUUUUGUCUCUGUAACAAGCUUCUAUUGUUAAAUGAACUUUGUAAAAUUUCUGCAACAAGGCCUAUGUUGCGGAAAAAUUUUGCAACUAGAUUUUUCCUGCGAAAAGUUUCUACAAAAUUUCCACAACAAGAUCUCUGUUGCAAAAAAAGGACUAUGUUUCGGAAAACUAAAUAACAGCUCAGACUAUUUGCAACAAGCAUCCUGUUGUAGGGCCAUUUUCCGCAACACUGCUCUUGUUGCAAAAGGGAGGUGACCCACGUGGGUCAGUGGGUGGGCAGAUUGGACCAUCCCUGCGUCCAUCUAACGACCAACCGGGCGGUGGGUGUUUUCUACUUAUCCGCCGGCCGACGCAUAGCGCGGCCUUUUUUCACAGAAGGGCAACGAUACAAAUCAGCAGACGGAUUUUGGUCGCUCGCAUAGAUUGCUUCCUUUGGUUGCCACGCUUCGCACGUGCGCCCAUCCUGCUCUAGAAAUAUCUUCGACGACCCGCCCCCUUCCUCAUGUGUUUCACCCUCGUCCCCUUUUCCUCUAUUAGGAUGAGUGGUGUUUGGAGGGCACCGGUGAUGCGGGCCAGGGCACCGCUCGACACCGGGUGCUGGGAAGGUCCAUGCCCAUUGCUGCAAGGUGCCGGUGAUGUGGGCCAGAGCGCCGCUCGCUGCCACCGCAAGCUGUUGUCGCUGCAACACCGGGAAGCUGUCAUCGCAAUUGGCGCUUGUUGGUCGUCGGACCUGGCGACGACGAAGUAGUGGAGUGGACAGAGGCGAUGCAACCGAGGCGGUGGAGGGCCAUAUUGUUGCCGGAGAAGACGAGCCUCACGGCGAACAUAGAGAUUUUUGUCUCUUUCACAAGCUUCGGUUGUGAAAAGAACUUUGCAAAAUUUCUACAAUUAGGCCUCUGUUGCGGAAAAAUUCUACAACACGAUCUUUCCUGUGAAAAACUUCUACAAAAUUUCCACAACAAGACCUCGUAGAAAAUUUCUGCAACAAGAUCUUUGUUGCAAAAACAAAAAAUGUGUUUCAGAAAACUAAAUAACACCUCAGACGUUUUGCAGCAAGCAUCCUGUUGUAGGGCCAUUUUCCGCAAUGCUGCUCUUGUUGCUGUAAAAUCUGGUUAAGCAUUCCUACUCCCAACAGGGGAGCGCAUGAGUAUAUAUUGAUGUAGCUUGGAGUACAAGGAUUGGCAGCAUUGAGACUAACCAACAGGAGAUAUUACAGGAGGUUUAACAGGAGAUAGAAGGAGAUAUAUACUACACCAGAUAUCUACCUAGCUAUUCCAACGUGACACAUAAGGUGUCCGGCCAAAGGCCUCAUAACAACAUGUUUAACAUCCUCCCUUAAUAUGAACAUCUCAAGUUUAGAUUACGCUUAAACUCUUCGAAUGGUCCCGUUGGUAAUGCCUUUGUAAACCCAUCAGCACCUUGAUCCUUUGAAGGAAUGAACCGAAUCUGCAGUUCUUUGCUAGCAACCCUCUCUCUAACAAAAUGGUAGUCAAUCUCAAUAUGUUUCGUUCUUGCAUGAAAAACAGGGUUUUGCAGAGAGAUAAGUGGCACUAAUAUUAUCACACCAAAGACAUGGAGUUUGUUUGUGAAAUAUUCCAAGUUCUUUCAGUAAAGACUUAACUCAUAUAAUUUCUGCAGUAGCAUUAGCUAGUGCUUUGUAUUCUGCCUCAGUACUUGAUCUUGAUACUAUGGCAAGUUUCUUUGCACACUAGGAGAUUAAGUUGGGUCCAAAGAAAACUACAAAGCCACCUGUAGACCAUCUGUCAUCCAAGCAACCUGCCUAAUCAGAAUCAGAAAAGGCACUAACAAGUGUAGAGGUUGACUUGGUGAAUGUUAACCCAAUGCUUAAUGUGUUCUUUACAUAUCUCAGUAUGCGCUUAGCAGUGGUCCAAUGAGUAGAAGUAGGUGCAUGAAGAUACUGACACACUUUAUUAAUUGCGAAUGAAAUAUCAGGCCUGGUGAGUGUCAAGUACUGAAGUGCUCCUACCAAACUCCUAUAUUUGGUACCAUCCUCUUGACUCAACGGUACGCCCUCUGCAAGAGAUAGUUUUUAUGAACUAGUGAGUGGUGUUGUUGAUGGUUUACGGCCCUGCAAUCCCGCCUUGCUCAAAAGAUCAGUGGCAUAUUUUUCCUAAGAAAGAUGAAGACCACCUUCCUGGUUUCUCUUGACCUCAAUGCCAAGAAAGAAGUGCAAGUCACCUAGAUCUUUUAGAGCAAAAAUCUGACUGUAAAUCUUUCAAGAGAGCUGUGACUGCCGCAUUGGAUGAACUAGUGACAAUAAUAUCAUCAACAUAGUUGUGUGGAAACGUUGAUAAAUAAAUAGAGAAGUGUCAGACUUAGAAGGAACAAAACCAAGAGUUUGCAGUUUGGAGCUCAAGCGAGAGUACCAUGCUCGUGGAGCCUAUUUUAGACCAUAAAGUGACUUAUCAAGUCUGCAGACAUGGAAGGGCCUGUUCGAAUCUUCAAACCCAGGAGGUUGUUUCAUAUAUACUUGCUCUUCCAGAAUACCGUGAAGAAAUGUAUUAUGCACAUUUAGAUGACGAAGACACCAUCCACGAGUGACAACAAUGGAAAGAACCAAGCGAAUAGUGGCAGAUUAAACAAUAGGACUAAACGUGUCCUCAUAGUCAAGUCCAUACCUAUGCUUGAAUCCUUUUGCAAUGAGACGAGCUUUAUAACGAUCAAUCGUACUAUCUGACCUUCAUUUAAUACGGAACACCCACUUGCAAUCAAUGAGGUCUGUACCAGGAGAGGAAGGAACAAGAUGCCAAGUAUGAUUUUUCUGGAGGGCACCAAACUCCUCUUCCAUGGCAUGUUUCCACUUGGGAUUAGCAAGCGCCUCAUGAAUAGUGCGGGGUUCUCCUGCAGAUGUAUCAGACACAACCAAGCCAUACUUAGAUUUGUAAUUAACUGGAUGAAUCGUGCCUGUUUGAAGCCGUGUACGAGGUAGCAACAGCUACACAGAAGAUCCCGGGAGGGCUACAACCUCCUAGAUAGGCGAGCCACCCAGAUCCGUAGCUGAGCGAAGCGAUCCCGAGGCGACCGCUACAGCCAGAUCGUUUGUGGCAGAGGCAGAGGGCGUUGAAGAGGGAGACGUCACAGAAGAUCUCGGGACGCCCAGCAAAUCAGGCUCGGGUGGAGCGCCGGUCCCGCUUGGCGCAGGACGGGACAGCCGCCUGGUAUAGACGUGCGGCGCCGGUGCGUAGCGCCCGGAGGGUAGGUCCUGCUCGGUCGGGUUGUCCGCUGGUGCAGGUUGGCGUGACGUACACGUGCUAGCCACAGGUUGACAUAGAGCGGGGGAGGCAGGGUCGACGCGGUCCACCGGUCCCGAGGCUGAUGCGGGUGCAGACUGCUGCAGCGAUCCCAGAGCGGAUUCAGGUGCAGGCUGCCGCGCCGAUCCCGAGGAAGAUUCAGGUGGAUCUAUUGCCAUUCCAGGAGGGUGCUUCAUACUGUUUGUGGUAAAAAAAUGUACCAUUCUCUCGCCAUUGUCUGCACUUUUUGUUCCUGUAGCAGGGAGCUCAUGUGGAACCACAGAGGAAUUAGUCAUAAUGGAAUCAUCAUUAGUAACACCCACACACUCAUCUCCAAGAAGAUGAGAAGGAAGAAGAAGGUUUCCUUCUUGAGAAGGGCACCAGCGUUAGGAUGGAUCUUUUCAAAGGGAAACUAGGUUUCGUCAAACACGACAUCACAAGAGAUGUACACACGACCAGUGGAUACAUCAAGGCAUUUGACACCUUUGUGCUGAGCACUAUAACCAAGGAAGACACACUGUUUGGAGCAAAACAUAAGUUUGCGAGAGUUGUAGGGCCGAAGGUUGGGCCAACAGGCACAACCAAAAACUCUAAGAGUGUGAUAAUCUGGGGUGACAUGCAAGAGGCGUUCAGUGGGAGUUUCAUUGGAGAUAAUGCGACUUGGCCACAUGUUAAUAAGAUGAACGGCAGUAAGAAAAGCUUCAUCCCAAAAUUUGAGGGGCAUGCAGGCGUUUAGCCAGAAGAUCUAAUCCUACUUCAACAAUAUGCCUAUGCUUACGUUCAGCAGAGCUAUUUUGUUGGUGUGCGUGAGGGCAUGACACAUGGUGAGAUAUGCCUAUUUUUUGAAAGAAGGAAUUCAAUUUUUCAUAUUCACCACCCCAGUCUGAUUGCAUGGCAAUGAUUUUGCAAUCAAACUUGCGUGCAACGAGGGCUUGGAAGUUGUGAAACACUUGAAACACAUCUGAACGCUUUUUAAGAAGAUAUAUCCAAGUAUAUUUGCUAAAAUCAUCAAUGAAGCUCACGUAAUAAGAGUGUCUACCGACAGAGGUGGGUGCUGGACCCCAAUAAUCGGAAAAAUAAGUUGCAAGGGUUUUGUAGACACACUAGUAGAGACAUGAUAUGGUAGUUGAUGACUUUUUGCUCUUUGGCACGAAUCACAAAUAGUUUCUAAAUUUCUCUCACCAUCAACUUGGAGUUUAUUCCUACUAAGAAUUGGAUGAACAGUAGCAAAUGAUGGAUGACCUAAUUGACCGUGCCACCUCUCAGUAGAAUGCUUGAUGGCACCAUAGACUUGUUUAUUGAAUUUGCAAUACUUGGGAAGCAACGAGUAGAGCCCUUGCACACAGACACCUCUAUGAAGAACUCUCUUCGUGACCUGAUCCUUGAUCAAAAAGAAGAAAGGGUGAAACUCUAGAAACACAUUAUUAUCAAGAGCAAUGCGAUGGACAGAUAGAAGAUUCUUAGAGGCAUUAGGAACAUGCAGGAUGUCAUUGAUUUCAAGAUUUGUGUGUGGGGUUCCAAUGAGAUUUACCAAUAUGACUUAUUUCCAUACCUGGACCAUUUGCAGCUGUGUAGAUUUGGUCAUUGCCAUGGUAUUUCUCAUGCAUCGUCAGCUUGUCCAGCUCGCCAGUGAUGUGAUUGGUGGCACCUGUGUCCAUAUACCAAUUUGUAUAUACACCAUAUGACAUAUCAGCAGCGGCAGCAACUUUUUUCUUUUGGGAAUUGUCAUCAGCGUAGCGCCAAUCACAAUCUUUAGCUAUGUGGUUUUCUUUUUACAUAUCUGGCACUUCCCUUCAUAUCCCUUGUAGCCCUGGAAAUUGCGCCCCCGAUUGUUGUUGCCGGGGGGUGCCUGUUGUUUCCACCGUGAGGGUUACCCUGGUAGUAGCCGCCACCCCCACCAAGAUAGCCGCCACCACCACCGUUGUGGUAGCCGCCGCCGCCAGGAUAGCCACCGCCACCACUAUUGUUUGGGUGGUAGCCACCGCCAUCACCCUGGUUGUUGCCGCCGUUGUGGUAGCCACCACCACCACCGUACUGUCCGCCGCCGCCUCCGUACUGGCCCCCACCACCACGGGAUCCACCACCACCUUCACCACUCCGUUGGUUUUGGUAGUUUUUGGUGUUUCCUUGGCGACCACGAGAUGCAGAGUUCGCUGAUGAUUUGAAGGAUUCGCCGUUUGUACCAUGGAACAUCUCGACCCACUGAUCGAAAUUUGCCACCAUCGAGAAGAGGAUGUCGAUGGAGACCGGUUCUAUUCGUGCAUCGAGGGCUGAGAUGAUAGGCUGGUACUCCAUGUCCAACCCGACAAUGAUGAAGGAGAGCAGCUCAUCCUCGCCGAUCAACUUUCCCGCCGCCGCGAGCUCGUCGGAGAGGGCCCGCAUAUGACCAAAAUAUGCAGCAGCCGUCUGGGAGCCCUUCUGGGCAUUGGUGAUGGCGACCCGUAUGUUGUUGGCGCGCGAGAGAGACAUGUCCGAGAACAUGUUCCCGAGCGCGGUCCAUAUCGCAUGCGAUUUUUCAAGCGAAGCAACUUGGACAAGUACUUCUUUGGAUAGAUUUUUGAGGAGGUAAGCGACGAUCUAUUGGUCUUGGAUGAGCCAUUGGGAGUAGGCAGGGUUUGAGGCAACCUGAUCCUUCCCUUCGGCGUUCUUGGUGGUGAGGGUUUUUUGUGGUUCUUCAAUUGUUUGAUCUAGGUAGCCAUAGAGGCCAGCACCCAUGAUCUGUGAUCUUGCCUGUGCGCGCCAUAGGAUGUAAUUGGUUCGCGUAAGUGGUUCGGAGGUGUUGUAGUUGAGGCUAGAGUUGAUGGCAGAGGAUGAGGAAGCCAUGGCGGCUGGUGGAAGGAAGGUAUGCUAGGGUUUUGGCGCAGGUAUGUGGAAGGUGCUAGGGUUCUUGGCACAGGCAGAUCGAAAGCUAGAUGUGGCAGAAGAGGUUGCUUUGAUACCAUGUAAAAUCUGGUUAAGCGUUCCUACUCCCAACACGGGAGCCGCAUGAGUAUAUAUUGAUUGCAGCUUGGAGUACAAGGAUUGGCAGCGUCGAGGCUCACCAGCGGGAGAUAUUACAUGAGGUUUAACAGGAGAUAGAAGGAGACACUACACCAGAUAUCUACCUAGCUAUUCCAACGUGACACAUAAGGUGUCCGGCCAAAGGCCUCAUAACAACAUGUUUAACAGUUGCAAAAGGGAGGUGACGCACGUGGAUCGGCAGAUCGGAUGGCCAUCCCCUCAUCCAUCCAAAGGCCAGCCAGGCGGCGGAUGUUUUCUACUUAUCCAUCGGCCGACGUGUAGCACAGCCCUAUAAAAAUCUCUUUUUCUCUAAUUUUCUACAACAAGACCUCUGUUGCAAAAUAUUCUCUUCUUUAAUUUACUGCAAUAAGACCCCUAUUGCAAUACUUUUUCUUCUUUAUUUUUCUGCAACAUGACCCUUGAUGCAAAACUUCUUCUCUAUUUUUCUGUAACAAGACUUUUGUUGAAAAACCUCCAUUGCAGUAGGACCCAACAUCUCUAGCUUCUUGUAUGUAUUCCCGCAACAAUACUGUUGUUGCGAAAACUUGCAAGAAUGCCGACGGCUACAACGGAGAGAGCACUUCGUGGUCUCUGCAUCACCCCAUUUGUUGCGGUUCGCCUUUUCGGAACAUGUGCUCAGUUGCAAGAACUGCAGUACGGAGCGCUCUGCAUGGUCAGAUGAGAUUCAACGCAUGGAUAGAAGAUAUAAAAAUAUGCGGCCAUUUCGUUAGAGAUAGGGAUGAAGGAGAGAAGGGAUGCGCUGGCCCAUCAAGACGUGUGUCAAGCAUAGAAUGUGGUGGAUGUGAGAGGAAAGAUCGGUUGACUACUAGCCUUUUCCUUUUUUAUAACAUGACUCGCAACAAAAGCAUUGUUACAGAAAAUUACAAAAGAAAAAUGGAUAGCUGACGGCUCGUGAGGCGGCGGAUCUUUUUAAAAGAUCUGCCGACCAACGUGUAACAUGACUCUUAUUGCAGAAAGUUAGAGAAGAGGUUUCUCAACAAAAGCAUUGUUCCAGGAAAUUACAAAAGAAAAACGAAAUGCUCGCCUCGUACAAUCAGACGGCUCGUGAGGCGGAAAAGAUCCGCCGGCCGACGUGUAGCACUCCAAAAAAAUAAAAAAUAAAAGAGACAUAGAGCUGGCCGUCCGAUGGAUUAACCUCAACAAAGCCAAACCCUAAACAACAAUUGAGCCCUAGCACAUCGCGCGACGGAAUAUAACGGAUCAACGCUCCCAGAAUUACUAAGACGAGAAGUGGAUUUGUCGCCUCCAGCCAAGUUGAGAUCAGGGCGUCGCCUGCGCUCCUCCGGGCAGGAACGGAUCAGCGCCCUCCCAGACGACCUGCUUCGCCUCGUCCUCGCCCGCAUCGGCUGCGCCCGCGCCGCCGCGCGCACAAGCGUCCUCUCCCGCUGGUGGCGCGGCCUCCUCCUACCAGGGCUCGUCCUCCGCGGCAUCGCGUUCCACAAGCUCGAUGCGGCGCUCGGCCGCGUGUCUCCCGAGGUCUCCCUCCUCGAGAUCCACGUCGCCAAGUGGGCUUGCCGCCUCCCUCCCGAGCAGCUCCGGGCCUCCCGCGUCAGCUCCUUGCUGCGCGCCGCCGUGCGGCUCGCGCCCGAGGAGUUCGUCCUCGCUCUACCGGUUGAAUCAACACGAAACACGUACGACGUCGAGCUGCCAAGCUUCCACCAUGCCACCUCGAUCGUGCUGCACGUGCUCUUCUUCUUUAAGGUGCCGGCCGGCGUCGAGUUCCCCGUGCUCGAGACGCUGUCCCUCACGGGCUGCAAGGUCGACCUCAAUGCAUUGCUCCCCUGCUGCCCGUGCCUGCGCGUGCUCAGGAUCAAGCUGACCAAAUUUUGGACUAAAGGCAUGGACCUGACGGUCCACUCCGCGUCGCUGCAGGAGCUUGUCGUGAAGAACAAAUGGAUGCGCAAUGUCGAUAUUGUCGCCCCGUCGCUUAAGCAACUGACGAUGUCCAUGAUCUCUUACAUUGAUAAGAACAUCUCCGUCAUGGCACCAAUGAUGGAGAAGGUCUCGUGGCAGUGCUUGUAUGGCAGGGUGCCUGGUGUACGUGAAGCUUGUUUUGGUCUUUGGUGCCUCGAUAAGUUGCGGCUACAAACGGCCGAGAGACAAGGACAGCCCACUUCAUUACACAUUCAUGCCUAUACCGACAAAGUGUGUCUCCAUUUUUUUAUAAUUUAUUAGAGUUGCUAGCCAGACUAAAUUGUAUAUGCAUGUGACAUAUACCUUGACAAAUUAUUCUUUUUCCAGAGAUCGUAUAGGCUUCUCAACAAAGUGGACAGCUGUGCCAUUCAGAAGCAUAUCGUUGAUGCAUUCUCUGUUUUGGAGCUACAUCUUGAAACAGCUGGGCAUGUUUUCGGAGCUUUCGUGUUUCAUCUCAUUGAGAUGAACUGCAUUCAUAGUGCUAUGCAGAGGCUUAAGGUCGUCUUACAGAGAUCAAUGGUAAUUCUCUAUUUUAUUAUNNNNNNNNNNNNNNNNNNNNNNNNNNNNNNNNNNNNNNNNNNNNNNNNNNNNNNNNNNNNNNNNNNNNNNNNNNNNNNNNNNNNNNNNNNNNNNNNNNNNNNNNNNNNNNNNNNNNNNNNNNNNNNNNNNNNNNNNNNNNNNNNNNNNNNNNNNNNNNNNNNNNNNNNNNNNNNNNNNNNNNNNNNNNNNNNNNNNNNNNNNNNNNNNNNNNNNNNNNNNNNNNNNNNNNNNNNNNNNNNNNNNNNNNNNNNNNNNNNNNNNNNNNNNNNNNNNNNNNNNNNNNNNNNNNNNNNNNNNNNNNNNNNNNNNNNNNNNNNNNNNNNNNNNNNNNNNNNNNNNNNNNNNNNNNNNNNNNNNNNNNNNNNNNNNNNNNNNNNNNNNNNNNNNNNNNNNNNNNNNNNNNNNNNNNNNNNNNNNNNNNNNNNNUAGAUAGAUAGACAUGCACACACACACUGAUCAUUAAUUUUCUAGUUACUCCUGAUUUUGGUUUUAGCAGAAAGAAAGAUGCCUGACAAAUUGUUUGUGUGAUCCCAUGAACUGGAAAACCAAAACUAUGUCCGUGACCGCCCUCAAAGAGAUGGAAGUUGAAGGCUUCGAAGGCGAGGAUCAUGAGUUUGAUUUUUUGAAAUUGGUAUUCAAGUCUGCACCAAAUCUUGAAAGAGUUACCGUGAAGCUGUCACGUGAGGACCCAUCAAGUAGUGAUAUAUGCACAAAACUAUAUGACAUUUUCAGGGCCUAUUCUUCCGUGGAAUGUUGUGUUUGUCUUAACUCUGGUGAGUAUAUGUUCUCCAUGCAUGGUUAACAUGCUCCUCGAGAAUAUAAUUGUUAAUCCUUAUAAGUUUCUUCCCUGGCGUGAUUAUCAUGCUUUAGAUUGUUGUCAUUGGUUAAUUUGUGCACAAACCCUCAUAUCUCUAUACAAUAGAAGCUGAACGAUGUAGUGGGUCAUAAAUACUUUACUUGCUUCCUUAACUUAGUUCCUUUUUUAUGCAAUCUUCUAUGUUGAUUUUACCCUCCUACUUUGCAUCCAUAUUUAGUUGCACAAAACAUAGUUUUUAGGUUAACCGUUUCAUAUUUGAAUUUUAUUUAAUUUUGGGUUGUGCACGAAUUAUUCAGCUCCAUCUAUAUAUUGUUUGGCAAGUACUUUGGUAUUCCUCUCUUCCAUCAGCAUUCAUUGCAUUUGAUCUGUGAAUGGCACCAAUAUUUACUGAUACAACAAAUCUUCAUUUGCAAGUUGCAAUACUUACCGGAGCUGGUUUCAAUUUGCCUCCACUGCAGGGUUAAUGCAUGGCAGCCAAAAUUGUUUGUCGACAUGAUUCUCCAUUUGUGAAUUCAUGAUGGGCAUCAACAAGAUAGUCAUUCGACGUGCUGACCAACUCCAUAUAUAUUAAGUCGUUUCAGGAUUUGGCUUGGUUACUUCUACAGAUAAACUGAGAUGUUGCCGUGUUAUUUUUCACACUUCAAUGCAGCUUAGGCUCAGAAUAUUGCACUCUAGCUUGCUUGCUAUUUUGGAGACAGCUAUAUGCCGAGAAUGCUACAAUAAUCAAGACAUUAAAGUAGUUAUGCUCACCAUAUCUUCAGUUGUCGAAGUGUUGAACUUAUUGUGCCGAAAGCCUCAAACCAUGUUUAAUUGUCAAAGUUACUGUGCUUGACCUAUGUCAAUCAUGUGCACCAAGUUUCUCUGUUAGGCCUGUGAUUUCUAUUGCUUUUCACUGUUUCAUCACAUUUUGAAUGCUCAUCCUCAUAUUUGAACCAAAUGAACUCAGUCUCUGCCUCUCUGGUUAGCUCACUAUCUUUACUUGUCAAGUGCACAUUGCCCCCUCUCCAGGAAAUUACUGCAGCCUAUAUGAUAAGAUGCAUCUUUGUCUGUUUGAGCUAUUCCUUUGGCACUUUUUAUCUCUAUAUAGUGCUUAUGCUAGAGUACUAGGCUAUUUGUGUUGUACAGAAAGUUGUGAAACUAUAUGAGGUAAGAGCUUGGUCAUCAUGUUGGCCACUUUUUUAAAACAUAGUACAAACACAGACAGUCGUACAUACGCACAUAUACUCAUCCCCUAUGAACACACACACGCACACCCUACCCGAUGAGCACCUCCGAGAGACAGAGCCAGCACAUCAUGUUGAGAUUGUCGAAGUCGCCACAGACAUUUGCAUUAUUGGAGGGAACGUCUCCUCCCACUACACGCACAUCGCCUGAAGGCCUGAAAUAAAUCUAGUAAAAUGCGAGCACUAGUGUCAAACCUAGGACUUAAACUCUAGGAAAAUGUGAGUACCCCUGUCAAGUCUAGGAAAAUGACCAACAAAUUGUCGGUGUGAUCCCACGAUCGCUCAUAUGUGGAUGGCAGCACGACUCUUUUCUUCUCUGCUCGGGGGCGGUUGGUGUGGGACGGCAUGACCAGAUGGUGGCGUCGGGUGCACGCAGGGCUCAACGGUAUGUGCGCGUAUGGCAGGAAACUAUGAGGUGGUUGGUGGUGCGGCGACUGUGUGCCCGUAGCGGCGGCACUGAGUCAAGUUUAGGUCACUGGCUGCCACAACUAGAUCUGGCGGGACUUCCUUGUUAUGGCUCCGGCGUACCUGCCUUGGACGUGGACGGCAGCUGGCCAACUGCUCGUGGGUGGGGCAAACUAUACAUGGGGGCUAUAGGUUGCAGAAUCCCACGUAUCCAACGAUUUCUGCCAACGAGUUCAUUCGCUACAACAUCGACUCAUUGGCAAGGCUCUGCAAGCGUCGAUGGAGUUCAAAUCCGAGGAUCGUCGCCAGCUUUCCUCCCAGCAGUUAGGUUUAGGUUUCCUAGGCGUCGGAGCGGACCACAUUAGUGCCCUUCCCAAUGACCUGCUCCUCCUCGUCCUCGCUCGCCUCCGCUGUGCGAGCCAGCGUGCUCUCCCACCGGUGGCGCGGCCUCUCGGCCUGCCUCCACCAGGUCGUCUUGCACGAUGUUGUGUUUGAGAAGCUCCAAGCUGUGCUUGACGGCUUAUCUCCUACGGUUUCUGUCCUCGAGAUCCAUGUGUCCAACACUACGUGCAACCACGAGGAUUCCGAUGUUAGGUCGCUGCUGCGUGCCGUCACACGGCUUGCGCCGGAGAAGUUCCUCCUCACCCUAUAUGGUCCCUCCAGACCCGCCAUCUGCGUGAAACUGCCAUGUUUCCACCAUGCCACCUCGAUUGUGUUCGAUUCACCGUACUUAUCCAUCCGUGUGCCUUCUGAUGUCGACUUCCCCGUGCUUGAAACCUUUUCUCUUUUGGACUGCAUGAUCGACCAGGUCGACGACGUGCUCCCCCGCUGCCCGCGUCUGCGCGUGCUCAGGCUCAAGCGGACAAAAUUUGGGUAUCGCGGCUGGGACAUGAGGGUCCACUCGGCGUCGAUAGAGGAGCUUGACAUGGAGAAUGUAUGGAUACAUUGUGUUGACAUCGUCACUCCCUCGCUUAAGCAAUUGGCGAUGUCCAUGAACACUUACGUCGAGCUCAACGUCUCCAUCUCGGUACCAUUGGUGGAGAAUAUCUCGUGGCAAUGCUCGUUUGCGUGGGUACCUCGGAAAAUUGCCUUUGUUCCUUGGUGCCUUGACAGGUUGCUGCUAGAGAGGGCUGAGAAACAGGGAAAACCCAUUUCGUUAAAAAUUCAUGCCUCUACCUGCAAUGUGUGUUUCCUCUAAUUCUCAAUUCAAUUACUCGAGUUGCUGACUAGCUAAAUUUUGUAAAUGAUAUGUAUUCCUGUCAAAUUGUUUUCUCAGAACUCGCAAAUUUCUCCUGAUCAAGCAGAAAAGGGUACACGGGAGAUUGAGAAGCAUGCGGUUUAUGCAUUCUCUGUUUUGGAGCUACAUCUAGAAACAGCUGGGCAUGUUUUUGGAGCAUUCCUGUUUCAUAUCAUUGGAAUCAACAAGAUUCGUAGUUUUUUAUCGUAUUUAUCCUAAAUAACCAGUUUUAUAGUUAUUAUUAUUUUCUGGCUGUAGGAAAAAGAAGGAUGCCCAACAAAUUGUCCUUGUGAUCCUGUGAACUGGAAAACCUGAACUAUUGCCUUGACUGCUCUUGAAGAAAUGGAAAUCUAUGGCUUCAUUGGAGAGGAUCACGAGUUUGAUUUCUUGAAAUUGGUAAUCAUGUCUGCACAAGUGAUUAAAAGAGUGAUUGUGAGGUUGUCACAUGAGGUAUCAUUAAGUAGCGACGGAUAUACAAAAAUAUACAACCUCUUUAGGCUAUAUUCUUCCGUGGAAUGUCAUGUUUAUCUUAGCUCUGGUGAGUAUGUGUCAUGCAUGCAUCACUAGCAUCAUCAUAGGCGAAACAAUAAUAUAAUUGUUAUUUCUUCAAAGUUUUCUCAAAAUAUACAGUUAAGUCGUUGGUGCCGUUUCAUUUUGUGAACCAUCUCUAGGUUGGUUGACAUGUGCGAUUAACAUGUCAAUUAGUUACCGCUCUAUUACUGCUCAAGUUGUUUGCAUACCUCUUAUCUGUAUAGAAAUGGAAGUUGAAUGGUGGAAUGGGUAAUAACUUUUCAUUACCUCAAAUAUUGUUGAUUUCAUGGAUUGUAAUAUGAUUAGGUUGCAUAAGGGCAUCUCCAACAUGGACCUUCAAACCACCCGCAUCCGGACCUGUUUUGCCAUCCAAGGCGAUACCCCAUCAGUUCGCUGGCCGGUCCAAACGUCCAUUUUUCCCACAAANNNNNNNNNNNNNNNNNNNNNNNNNNNNNNNNNNNNNNNNNNNNNNNNNNNNNNNNNNNNNNNNNNNNNNNNNNNNNNNNNNNNNNNNNNNNNNNNNNNNNNNNNNNNNNNNNNNNNNNNNNNNNNNNNNNNNNNNNNNNNNNNNNNNNNNNNNNNNNNNNNNNNNNNNNNNNNNNNNNNNNNNNNNNNNNNNNNNNNNNNNNNNNNNNNNNNNNNNNNNNNNNACCCUGGCCCACCCAAAAACCUUCUCCCUCACCUGCACGCUUUUCUGCCCGAAGCCAGCUACUCAGCUCCAGAGCAUCAGUGCCACAUUCAUGCCGGUCCAGAGCGGACGCGGCCUCUAACUCGAGCCGACAUUGAAGUGGCGUGCCGCCCGCUACAUAUGUAUUCUCUCCCCAAUUACACGGCAUCGGUCUGCCCGCCUACCUCCAUUAAACUCGCUUUUGUUUCUUGUCAAAGUCGGUGUGGCCGAAAGAAACUGCUCACAUAGUGGUUUUGUUUCAUGUCCCUCUCGGCGGUGGUAGUGCGAGUGGUGUGGUGAUGCGGUUUGUGGCGAUGCUUCUUAUAUGCUUCUUUAAAUUCCUAUUAGGAUCCUCGUCACAAGAGACCGAGUAGCGUUGCUUCUCCACUUGGUAGUUAUUCCGGCCGAUGAGGUGCAGGUAAGGCCCCUCGGGACCAUGCUGCCUCAUCUGCUUGGAGAGCAGCCUGUCGGGUGUACACCUGGUGGAGGACCUCUCAGAGCUGGUUGAGGCCUGCGACUGACUGAGAAGUGGAGGAGGGUUGUGUCUGUAGAGGCCGGAAUGCGAGGAGCGAGAACAGUGCAGCCGCCAUUGACGUUGUGGAAGAGGAAGAAGCUGAGUUGCCGAUCCAUUAAUUUCUGAUCAGCAUAUGUUUUCCCUUUCCUUUCUUCCAUAGCAAAGACGCAAAAAUAGCCCCCAGAUAAUGACUGACAUAGCUAAUGAAUAUAACUUCUGACUUUUUGAUAAAAGACAAUUGAAUAUAACUAGCCUACAACUGUAGACCCGAGUUGGUUAUACCUGGCAACGGUGAUGUUUUCCAUUGUUACUUUGUUGAAGGCAUUGCUUGGAUACGCUUGGGUAUGUUAUUCAGGGCGAAAACCUAGAUUUGGCUUGGUGGCUGGAUCCGAUGACGGUGGCGCUUGAGCGUCGUUCUCUUCAUAUAGGCGUUAUUGUUGCAGUACCUCACUGUCCUUGUGGUGUCAAAGAUGGUUUGUGCAGAUAUGGUCUUUGUUGUAGUUUGUUGAUCGCUUCGUGGUUUUUUGCUCGCUUAGGCUAGCUUUAGUCUUGUAUGACUUUGCGCUUUACCGGCCUAUUUUCUGUGUGUGCGCGUUAGUGUUGGCUUUCUGCUCCUAAGUGUGCAGAGGCUGGGUGUGUACUCAAUGUGCUUAUAUCUUCUUGAUGCUUCAUUUUGAGUCAAUAAAAAUCUACCAUUUAUCGAAAAAGCUGCAGUUAACUGCUAAAACAAUUGCUCUGUUGAAUGCUUGCACCAAACUAGACAAAUUCUUGAAACCGAAUCAAAUCAUAAGGAGUUGGUUGUCAUGUCGACGCACAUCAUGAAUCAACAAACUAGAGGAUGAGAAUCAUGUCCAUGGACAAUCUUGGUUGGCAUGCAUGAACCCUGCGAAGAAUGCAAGCAGCUGCUACAGUAUCGUAACAUGCUAAAGUAGUCGCCAUAUUUGUAAACACUGUGGUCACUGGAAAAUAACACUUGAACUAAAUAACUUUGUGCCAAACGCCCAAUCCCACAGGCUAAUGAAUUUCAGACACAUAACUAACCGUAGGUAAUUUACAAAGUGUCUUUUUCCAAUGGAUAUACUAUAUGCUAAACAGAAGGGCACAAUCAAGAUAUUGCACAAAUGAAAGGGCAACUAAGCUAAGGAAGCCUGUAUAAGAAGGUUCAAUUUUGUAUCGCCAAUUCGAUCAUUCAGCUUCCAUUAUGACAAGAAACUAGCGGGCGCAGACACAAAUACAGCGGUAAUAAUUGAGAUACAUAUGCCCAAUCAUGCCUUUUAAAUUAAUGGCAUGUCUUUAUCUAGAACAUAUACUCAUCGGGGUUAAUAAUAUAAAACACAUGAUUCCACAGAAGGAUAGGCCCCGAAGAUGUUGUAUAUUUUUGUGCAUCCAUUGUACUUGCAGAUGCAGAGGCCUCAUGUGUCAGCUUCACAAUCAUUCUUGUAAGCAUUGGGGCACAUUCAAAUAUCAGUUUUAAGAAAUUAAUCUCGUGUUUGCGUCCUUCGAAUCCAUAAAUCUCCACUUCUUCGAGAGCAGUCAAGAAGAUAGUCUGAGAUCUCCGGUUUGUGGGCUCACAAGGACAAUAUGGUGGG
rnacentral:lncRNA from 1 species